CAGGGCAUGAAAGGUCUCAAAUGUUCUGACGUGGACCUGGAACGCAGCUCCCCAAGCAGCAGACAUGUAGUUCUUGAACAGACUGCCUGGACCAUGGUCUGAGGGCCCCCACUGCCCACUCCAAUCUUCCCUGGACCUUUGAAUGGAAUCACAGGAGGAGGCAGUGUAUGUGUAGCUGCCCAAAGUCAAGUGUCACUGUUGUCUGCUGUCACCCAAAAGCCAUGGACAAUUUGCCAUUCUCAAGAUUUCCUGUCACGGAGUGACUCUCCAAUCUCCUUUCUGAUGAACAGAACUGCAUCCACCAAGUGUUGGUCACUGGGUGGGAUGGAAGAUCAUCCAUCAGAAUUAUCACAGCCUCUACAGCAGGUCUUCAUGGGGCCAAGGCCACAGCUAACUGCUUGGCAUGGAGCCCCCAUUGCAUCCUCAGUGACCCUAAGCUCUCAAUC